UAAAGCUGUAAAAUCCUCUUACAUGUUGAAUGCUUACCAGACAUAAUUUGUGUUGUCAGGCAUUAUUCCAGGUGUUUUGCAUUGUCAUGUAUUUUGCUGUAAUUUAAAAAAAAAUUCUUUUAUGGUCUUUUUUCUAGAUUUUGAGAUCUGUGUGGUGGAAGAUGAAGCACCAUCCUCAGUAACAAUCCCUCUUGUCCGCCCAACAUCAUCAGUGUCCCCAGCUUCUUCUUGCUCUUCAGAUUCCACAAUUAUUCUGAAAAGUUCUAAGAACCGUAAGAACGAACUUGGAGAGCUUGGUCAUGAGGAAGCAAAACAGAAGGUGCACACUGCCCUGGGGUCAAACCCAGAGGGUGAGGAAAUCAUGAGUGAAUACAACAAAACUAAAACACUGUCAGAUGCAACUCGUCGACAAAUGGUCAACAUGCUGGUUGCAGAUAUGAUAGAAUCACACAGGAGGAUCCCACCCGUAAGUGUUCAAACUAGCUAUGCA